UUAAGCGACUAAGCGUACACGGUGGAUGCCCUGGCAGUCAGAGGCGAUGAAGGACGUGCUAAUCUGCGAUAAGCGUCGGUAAGGUGAUAUGAACCGUUAUAACCGGCGAUUUCCGAAUGGGGAAACCCAGUGUGUUUCGACACACUAUCAUUAACUGAAUCCAUAGGUUAAUGAGGCGAACCGGGGGAACUGAAACAUCUAAGUACCCCGAGGAAAAGAAAUCAACCGAGAUUCCCCCAGUAGCGGCGAGCGAACGGGGAGNAGCCCAGAGCCUGAAUCAGUGUGUGUGUUAGUGGAAGCGUCUGGAAAGGCGCGCGAUACAGGGUGACAGCCCCGUACACAAAAAUGCACAUGCUGUGAGCUCGAUGAGUAGGGCGGGACACGUGGUAUCCUGUCUGAAUAUGGGGGGACCAUCCUCCAAGGCUAAAUACUCCUGACUGACCGAUAGUGAACCAGUACCGUGAGGGAAAGGCGAAAAGAACCCCGGCGAGGGGAGUGAAAAAGAACCUGAAACCGUGUACGUACAAGCAGUGGGAGCACGCUUCGGCGUGUGACUGCGUACCUUUUGUAUAAUGGGUCAGCGACUUAUAUUCUGUAGCAAGGUUAACCGAAUAGGGGAGCCGAAGGGAAACCGAGUCUUAACUGGGCGUUAAGUUGCAGGGUAUAGACCCGAAACCCGGUGAUCUAGCCAUGGGCAGGUUGAAGGUUGGGUAACACUAACUGGAGGACCGAACCGACUAAUGUUGAAAAAUUAGCGGAUGACUUGUGGCUGGGGGUGAAAGGCCAAUCAAACCGGGAGAUAGCUGGUUCUCCCCGAAAGCUAUUUAGGUAGCGCCUCGUGAAUUCAUCUCCGGGGGUAGAGCACUGUUUCGGCAAGGGGGUCAUCCCGACUUACCAACCCGAUGCAAACUGCGAAUACCGGAGAAUGUUAUCACGGGAGACACACGGCGGGUGCUAACGUCCGUCGUGAAGAGGGAAACAACCCAGACCGCCAGCUAAGGUCCCAAAGUCAUGGUUAAGUGGGAAACGAUGUGGGAAGGCCCAGACAGCCAGGAUGUUGGCUUAGAAGCAGCCAUCAUUUAAAGAAAGCGUAAUAGCUCACUGGUCGAGUCGGCCUGCGCGGAAGAUGUAACGGGGCUAAACCAUGCACCGAAGCUGCGGCAGCGACACUGUGUGUUGUUGGGUAGGGGAGCGUUCUGUAAGCCUGUGAAGGUGUACUGUGAGGUAUGCUGGAGGUAUCAGAAGUGCGAAUGCUGACAUAAGUAACGAUAAAGCGGGUGAAAAGCCCGCUCGCCGGAAGACCAAGGGUUCCUGUCCAACGUUAAUCGGGGCAGGGUGAGUCGACCCCUAAGGCGAGGCCGAAAGGCGUAGUCGAUGGGAAACAGGUUAAUAUUCCUGUACUUGGUGUUACUGCGAAGGGGGGACGGAGAAGGCUAUGUUGGCCGGGCGACGGUUGUCCCGGUUUAAGCGUGUAGGCUGGUUUUCCAGGCAAAUCCGGAAAAUCAAGGCUGAGGCGUGAUGACGAGGCACUACGGUGCUGAAGCAACAAAUGCCCUGCUUCCAGGAAAAGCCUCUAAGCAUCAGGUAACAUCAAAUCGUACCCCAAACCGACACAGGUGGUCAGGUAGAGAAUACCAAGGCGCUUGAGAGAACUCGGGUGAAGGAACUAGGCAAAAUGGUGCCGUAACUUCGGGAGAAGGCACGCUGAUAUGUAGGUGAAGCGACUUGCUCGUGGAGCUGAAAUCAGUCGAAGAUACCAGCUGGCUGCAACUGUUUAUUAAAAACACAGCACUGUGCAAACACGAAAGUGGACGUAUACGGUGUGACGCCUGCCCGGUGCCGGAAGGUUAAUUGAUGGGGUUAGCGGUAACGCGAAGCUCUUGAUCGAAGCCCCGGUAAACGGCGGCCGUAACUAUAACGGUCCUAAGGUAGCGAAAUUCCUUGUCGGGUAAGUUCCGACCUGCACGAAUGGCGUAAUGAUGGCCAGGCUGUCUCCACCCGAGACUCAGUGAAAUUGAACUCGCUGUGAAGAUGCAGUGUACCCGCGGCAAGACGGAAAGACCCCGUGAACCUUUACUAUAGCUUGACACUGAACAUUGAGCCUUGAUGUGUAGGAUAGGUGGGAGGCUUUGAAGUGUGGACGCCAGUCUGCAUGGAGCCGACCUUGAAAUACCACCCUUUAAUGUUUGAUGUUCUAACGUGGACCCGUGAUCCGGGUUGCGGACAGUGUCUGGUGGGUAGUUUGACUGGGGCGGUCUCCUCCUAAAGAGUAACGGAGGAGCACGAAGGUUGGCUAAUCCUGGUCGGACAUCAGGAGGUUAGUGCAAUGGCAUAAGCCAGCUUGACUGCGAGCGUGACGGCGCGAGCAGGUGCGAAAGCAGGUCAUAGUGAUCCGGUGGUUCUGAAUGGAAGGGCCAUCGCUCAACGGAUAAAAGGUACUCCGGGGAUAACAGGCUGAUACCGCCCAAGAGUUCAUAUCGACGGCGGUGUUUGGCACCUCGAUGUCGGCUCAUCACAUCCUGGGGCUGAAGUAGGUCCCAAGGGUAUGGCUGUUCGCCAUUUAAAGUGGUACGCGAGCUGGGUUUAGAACGUCGUGAGACAGUUCGGUCCCUAUCUGCCGUGGGCGCUGGAGAACUGAGGGGGGCUGCUCCUAGUACGAGAGGACCGGAGUGGACGCAUCACUGGUGUUCGGGUUGUCAUGCCAAUGGCACUGCCCGGUAGCUAAAUGCGGAAGAGAUAAGUGCUGAAAGCAUCUAAGCACGAAACUUGCCCCGAGAUGAGUUCUCCCUGACCCUUUAAGGGUCCUGAAGGAACGUUGAAGACGACGACGUUGAUAGGCCGGGUGUGUAAGCGCAGCGAUGCGUUGAGCUAACCGGUACUAAUGAACCGUGAGGCUUAACCUU
rnacentral:rRNA from 1 species